rnacentral:rRNA from 1 species
AGGACGAACGCUGGCGGCGUGCUUAACACAUGCAAGUGGAGCGACGAACCAGGGCUUGCCCUGGGGCAGAGCCGCGAACGGGUGAGUAACACGUGGGUUACCUGCCUCGAUGACCGGGACAACCCGAGGAAACUCGGGCUAAUACCGGAUGUGCCCGCAAGGGGAAAGGAAGCUUCGGCCUCCGCAUCGAGAUGGGCCCGCGGCCCAUUAGCUUGUUGGUGAGGUAACGGCUCACCAAGGCUUCGAUGGGUAGCUGGUCUGAGAGGACGAUCAGCCACACUGGGACUGAGACACGGCCCAGACUCCUACGGGAGGCAGCAGUGGGGAAUCUUGCGCAAUGCGCGAAAGCGUGACGCAGCAACGCCGCGUGGGGGAAGAAGGCUUUCGGGUUGUAAACCCUUUCAGUUGGGACGAAGCUUCUCCGGUGAAGUAGCCGGACGGAGUGACGGUACCUUCACAAGAAGCACCGGCUAACUACGUGCCAGCAGCCGCGGU